rnacentral:rRNA from 1 species
AAUAGAUACCCGGGUAGUCCACCCCGUAAACGUUGGAACUAGUUGUGGGGUCCUUUCCACGGAUUCCGUGACGCAGCUAACGCAUUAAGUUCCCCGCCUGGGGAGUACGGCCGCAAGGCUAAAACUCAAAGGAAUUGACGGGGACCCGCACAAGCGGCGGAGCAUGCGGAUUAAUUCGAUGCAACGCGAAGAACCUUACCAAGGCUUGACAUACACCAGAACACCCUAGAAAUAGGGGACUCUUUGGACACUGGUGAACAGGUGGUGCAUGGUUGUCGUCAGCUCGUGUCGUGAGAUGUUGGGUUAAGUCCGCAACGAGCGCAACCCUCGUUCUAUGUUGCCAGCACGUAAUGGUGGGAACUCGUGGGAUACUGCCGGGGUCAGCUCGGAGGAAGGUGGGGAUGACGUCAAAUCAUCAUGCCCCUUAUGUCUUGGGUCUUCACGCAUGCUACAAUGGCCGGUACAAAGGGCUGCAAUACCGUGAGGUGGAGCGAAUACCCGAAAAACGCCGGUACCCGAGUUCGGAUUGAGGUCUGCACUCGACCUCAUGAA